CGUGCACCGGUGGGGUCCCUUGGCUUGGCCUGUGCCCUCUCACAAUCCGGACCCCUCGGGGGAUGUUGGAGAGCCGGUUUCCACCUAAACCCUGCAGGCCAGGCCGAGGGACCCCACCGGUGCACA
rnacentral:pre_miRNA from 1 species